AUAAGUAAGAUAAUUAAUUUAAAGCAUAAAAGAGUACAUUACAUGAUUAAGCAACACAGUGCCAACAGAAAUAUAGUUCGACAUUCAACUAAAAUUGAAUUUGGCAUUUGUUCAUAAAGAAUCAUGUAACUUCAAUUAGAUUUUGCGAACAUGAAUCAAUUUGGAUGAAAGUCUAUUAUCAAAUUUGAACCUAAUGGUAUCACCAUGUUUGUAUCCUUCUAUUUUACAAAAUUCUUUCCAUCCAGUUCCAAUUUUUGUACUAACUUUAGGAGGAUAUUGCAACAUACAUUACACAUUCAAUAUAUCACCAUUAAUAUGCGAUAUUGCCGACAUAUCUCCUGAUUUACCAAAGUUGCAAACUGAAUUGAAAGAUAAUUCCCUCCUUGGUUUUUUUUUUUAUCAAAUAAUUCCCUCCUUGGUUAGAUAAUUGCAUAUUUUAUCAUACAUUAAACAAAAGAUACCACCAUUAAUAUCUGCUUAGCAGAACUCCUUUUGGCAGGUGUUUUGUGAGAAGAAGCAGACAUGUCAUUCUCGGCAGAAGCGGAUACAUUUGGCUGCAAAUAAGCAUUGCAAAUUGCAAAUAAGUAAAGGUAUUAACGGUCAAUAUAACUAAUUCAAAAUAUAAAUAAAGAGAAUUGAAGUUAGAAUAGUAAACAUACUGUGGAUAGAAUAGAAUCAUCUAGCCAAUCCAACUUGUCGAUAUCAGAUUGGGUAAAAGCUUGAAAAUGUGUGGAAAGUGUAUUAUGGUAAGUGAGUUGGUAAAUAGCAAUGAAUUAAGAAAACGAUAUGAACUGAAUCACAAAGUAGAAAUGAUUAGUCAAAUUAACUAUGAAUGAUGACAUACCUGAAUUGGAAGUGAAUCAUUGAUUAGUGUUUUAAAUCCCAAAAAAAAAAAGAUUAAGUAAUGAAAGUUGUAUAACAGUAUGAAAUUUGUUACCUUAGUUGAUAAAGUGGCUGCUUUGUUGAAGUUGGCCCUCUUUCUUUGGAGCUGUUUCCAGAACAUCAUUUGCAAAAAAACAAAAAGGAUAAAAAACAAUGGGAAGAAACAAACAAUUAUACCAUAAUUAGAAACAUGAGCGUUGGAAGAAAACAUUGAUAUCAUUAGAUGAUAAAACUUCUGCUAACGCAAUGAAGAAAACAACGUGAAGCAAGCAUUGUGCGCGUUAAAACACUUAUUCACAUUUUUGCAAGAUGAAUAAUUUCAGGGUCAUUCCAAGUAACUCAUCAAGUGUAUUGUCCAAGUAUGAAAUUAGUGACCAAAAUGAUAAUAAUCAGUCUCAAAAGAGUAGUAAUAAUAAUAACAGAGUUUCAAAAUAUAAUUUUAAUCGUCGUAAAACAUACCAAAAGAUGAAAAAUCAGACCUUUUUAUCGUAAACGACGACAAUGAAAGAUUGUAAGCGUAAAACAUAGAUUUUAAGCGUUAAAGCUAGAAAACACAUAUUUUAAUCGUCGUAAAACUUACGAAAAUAUUUAAAAUUAGACUUUUUACCGUAAACGACGGCAAUGAAAGAUUGUAGCGUGAAAACAUAGAUUUUAAUCCGGUGUCCAUAUCAGUGUCUAUACUUAUAAUCAAUAUAAGGACAUAACUAAACAUUAAAAGGUAACAUUUGAGUUAAAGAUGUAGGUAAGAAAAAUGAUCAGUAGGACACAAUAAAGGAAGAGCUACCAAGAACUUGUAUGUAUCAUAGUUGGAUAUGAGAAAGAUAAUCAUAUUUUACCUUUUGUAACUCACUUUCUAUGGAAGAGCUACCAAGAUUCAACUUCAUAGACAUAAAUAAAAAAAUGUUAAUUUCAUAUUAGAGAAAAUAUUUAUAUAAAAACCUGCAUUAAAACCAAACUUUGGUUAAAUGUUGAACAAAAAUUCAUAUGAAAAACAACCUCCUUAUCUUCUUUAGUUUCAUUUGCGCAAGCUUCAUUCCCAAAAAAAAUGAAAAGUUAAAUUUUCAAGGUUUAAAAUGACAAAGGAAAGAAGAAUGAAUGAAAGGGAGAGAAAUAAACCUUACCUAGUAUUUGCAGAUUUUUUUCCAAAGAUAGAAUGAAUGGUUAGGUAAAUAUACCAUGNNNNNNNNNNNNNNNNNNNNNNNNNNNNNNNNNNNNNNNNNNNNNNNNNNNNNNNNNNNNNNNAUGGUGUGCAUAUAGAAAAUGAAAGUGAUGAGUAAAACAAAUAAACAAAACAGAAAAAUAAAAUAAAUAAAGAAGAACAACAACAACUAAAUUCAGGUUUGAUAACCAUUUUCUAAAUUCUGAUUCAAAAAUUGAAAAAUAACAAAGAAAGAAAAAUCAAAUACUUGGAAGGAAGAAUAAUGAUGAUUGUAGAGAAAAUCAAAUACCCAUGUAGUUCUUCUUCUUCUUUGAUGGAUCUUCUUCUUUCUCUCAUGUAGAACAAAACUUUGAUUUCUUCAACAAAAAUCAUAGAACAACUAAUAACAAAGCAGGAAAAAAUGAAGCAAAUAUCAGAGAACAACUAAUACAACAACCACAAAAAAAAAAUCAAGAAAUACUCGUCCAUACGAAAUUUCAAAAACGUACACGUUGAUAAUUUACAACCAAAGAACACGAUUUACAAAGAACAUUUUAUCAAACACAUGGUGUGCUUGUAU
rnacentral:lncRNA from 1 species